rfam:Clostridium bornimense replicon M2/40_rep1, complete genome, type strain M2/40T
GAAAUAUAAUGUGCUCAUCCGUAGACAGUAGGUGGCUAUGCCGUAACGUGAAAACAACCUACCGAGGUAGCUGACUAAUAGAUUACUAUGGUCUCUUCUUGUGUCUACGGGGAGGCCUUUAAUUAUUAUACA